UUAUACAAUUUCCUUUUCCCUUCGUUUCUAAGACAAGCUAAUUUCCUACAUCAGUAUAUGAUUACACUUAAGAGAAACUUGUAAAUUGUAACUAAGCCAAAAAAAGCUAACUCUAAAAUCACAUUUUGCGUUCCCAAUGAUGAGGAAUGAGAGAAACGAAGGGAAAAGGAAAUUGAAUAAUGAAAUAGAAAGAUGCCACCAAAAGUUUAAUAGAGAAACCAAGGCAAUCAUUCUUCAACUAAACGUAAAGGUGAAUCACUACUUUGGCCAAAUAUAUCAGGAAUUCCAUCCCAAUUCUUUCUCUCUUUUGCUUCCCAGUACCCCCCUAUAUAACGAUAGCAACCUUCGCCGUCUUUAUGAAACCAUCUUGGCUGCCAACCCCUUUCCUGCAACUUCCUUGCCUGUCUUUGUAACUGUUCAAGUCUCAACUUCUCUGCAUUUGCCAACUCAUAUUCCCCAUUUUCGAGGUGUCUCUGAUCUGGCCUCAGCCUUGAGUCAGUGGGAGGCAAUUUCUCCAACAAGCCAGGAGUCAGUUCAUUCAAGGAUAUCGCAAAAGGGGUGAGAUUGUAUCUUGUCUUGGUAACUGAUUUGUCUCUUUCCCAAAGCAAGACAGCUUCUGUCAUUGGAUCAUACCCCUUUGGCUUUGUAGCUGGAUCACCUAGUACAUAGUACAUUGCUUCAUCCCACUUUCCCACUAACAUUGCUACCUUCUCUCCAGUUCUAUUAUCUUGUACGAAUCCGUGAACCUGAUGAGGAUUUCGGUCUAUGAUGGACUGCUCUUUGAACUUGAGCUUGCAAGAGUAAUUGCCACUACCUUUGAUGCGCAUGGUGCCAUAGUGAUCACAAUAUAGUUUUCCAAGUAUAAUGUUGUAUAUAGAAGUGGUGACCUUGCUCCACUGGAAGGUCUCACCAUCCUCAAACUGCAGGGUAAGGACACCAACAGGAUCAAGCUGAAUAGACCGCCCCCAAAACUUCCCUUUGAUAUUGGAGUCUGCCCAGAAUUUCCAGCCUCUUCCCUCACAGUGACAAGCAACAAUCAUUGGGUGGUGACUUACCUUUUCAGAGAAAAAACGAAGCCCUUUAUCUGGAUAGUCAGCUUCAUAGGUCUCCCCUAGGAGAGGGUUGAAGGGCUUGCACUGCCGUCCUUCUGUUGAGGCAUAGCCAGAUACAGCAAAAGCUGCAAUGUUCAGAAUUCUCAUCAAUUCAUUCCCCUGCUUCCCCCAUUCCAGCGCUCGAUCAACCAAGUAUGAAUAUUCCAAAUCCUCAAAGCACUUCUGUAGCGAAGAGAGUGGUUCAUUAAAAUAAACAGGAAGACAAACUCCAGACAAGUCCUUCCCAAUAUUGUCCUUAAUAAUUGACCACAGGCCAACAGGCUUCUCUUUUUCCUUUGGUUCUGGCAAAUUAUCUCUUCUUUUAACAAAUGGAUAUUGGAUUGUCCUGAUUUCCUUCACAAAUGCCCCAUGUAAGUUAUCAGACAAAAAUGGGUUAUCAUAUACACAUGCAUUUCCCAUAGUUUCCCUACUUCUAUAGGAGGCACUUCUUAAAGCAUCAGAAGAGAAAAAGUCAUUUGUAUCAAAAAAUGUCCCAUCAUCUUCAUCUGUUU
rnacentral:misc_RNA from 1 species